AGGAGAGGAGAGGAGAGGAGAGGAGAGGAGAGGAGAGGGGUGGAGAGGAGAGGAGAGGGAUGGAUGAUGAGAGGAGAGGAGAGGAGAGGAGAGGAGAGGGGUGAGGUGGAUGAUGAGAGGAGAGGAGAGGAGAGGAGAGAGGUGGAUGAUGAGAGGAGAGGAGAGGAGAGGAGAGAGGUGGAUGAUGAGAGGAGAGGAGAGGAGAGGAGAGGGGUGGAGAGGAGAGGGGUGGAUGAUGAGAGGAGAGGAGAGGGGUGGAUGAUGAGAGGAGAGGAGAGGAGAGGGGUGGAUGAUGAGAGGAGAGGAGAGGAGAGGAGAGGGGUGGAUGAUGAGAGGAGAGGAGAGGGGU
ensembl:lncRNA